UCCGGUUUGUCACCGGCAGUCUGGCGUGAGUCCCAAACUUAAUGAUGGCAACACGCCACGGGGGUUGCGCUCGUUGCGGGACUUAACCCAACAUCUCACGACACGAGCUGACGACAACCAUGCACCACCUGUGCACGACCCUUACGGACCCCACAUCUCUGCGGGAUUUCCGUGCAUGUCAAGCCUAGGUAAGGUUCUUCGCGUUGCAUCGAAUUAAGCAACAUGCUCCACCGCUUGUGCGGGUCCCCGUCAAUUCCUUUGAGUUUUAACCUUGCGGCCGUACUCCCCAGGCGGUCAACUUCACGCGUUAGCUUCGUUACCAAGGAAUUGCUUCCCCGACAACCAGUUGACAUAGUUUAGGGCGUGGACUGC
rnacentral:misc_RNA from 1 species